rnacentral:rRNA from 1 species
AGGACGAACGCUGGCGGCGUGCUUAAUACGUGCAAGUCGAGCGAGAAGCCACCGCUCCGUAAGGAGUGGUGGUGGAAAGCGGCGAACGGGUGAGUAACACGUGGGUAAUGUGCCCUGAACAUCGGGAUAACAGCCGGAAACGGCUGCUAAUACCGAAUAACCCUGCAAUGUCGCAUGACGAAGCAGGCAAAGUUCCGGCGGUUCAGGAUCAGCCCGCGGUGUAUCAGCUUGUUGGUGGGUAACGGCCUACCAAGGCUUUGACGCAUAGCUGGCGUGAGAGCGCGACAGCCACACUGGGACUGAGACGACGGCCAGACUUCGUACGGAAGGCAGCGAGUAAGGGAAUCGUUGCGCAAGUCGGGACGAAAGCCUGACGCAGCGACGCCGCGUGA